rnacentral:lncRNA from 1 species
CCUCAAAAUUACAUAAUUGGGCAAAACUGAGUCCACUACCGUAGAUUUCCCUGUAUUCACACCCCCAUUUCCAGGAACUCCAUCAAAAUAAACAUAAAAGUAGGUUCAACCUAUACAAUAAGCUCACAAUGCCCACCAACUUAAAGCUUCUCUUUAAUCUCAACCCUUUCAACCAGAGCAAAUCAGCAUCAGGCAACCCCUUUUAACGACUCUCCCAACCUCGGAGACCAAUGGAGCAUCAGAAUCAUCUGUCAGUACACACUUUCUCCAAAAGAAAACAAACAAGC